UGUUCAUGUACAGUUCAUUUUGUGAGACAGUAAAAAAAACAUAUAACUUUGUCUUGCAUUUGAAAAAAAAAACAUUUUAUUUUUCACUAAAGAAGGGUUCGGUGAAUGUGCAUAUGAAACUGGUGGGGUUCGGUACCUCGAACAAGUUAAGAACCCAUCCAUCCAUCCAUUUUCUACCGCUUAUUCCCUUUUGGGGUCGCGGGGGGCGCUGGAGCCUAUCUCAGCUACAAUCGGGCGGAAGGCGUCGUACACCCUGGACAAGUCGCCACCUCAUCGCAGGGCCAACACAGAUAGACAGACAACAUUCACACUCACCACUGGUCUAAAUCCUGAAAAAAGUCGUCUUGGGCUUCAAUGGGUUAAUACCGCCUCCCUCUCUAUCUCUCUCCCUCUGUCGCUCACCCGAGAGUCUCUCCGAAACCGGCCAAUCAGCGGCGAGUUCUGCCGCCCGCCGCCAGCCAAUAGGAGGACCGGGAGGCUCUAUCGAAUUUGAAUGAGGAGUGUAUCUUUCGGCGCCAUUUUCGAGUGAGCGACGAUCACCCGCGCAGGCACAGAGCUUACCGCGUUUAGAGCGAGGAUGCUGCGGACGGAGAGACGCAGAAGAGCCGCUCUUCUUCGUCUUGUUUUUCGGUCGGACGGAGCAAUACUCAAUAAAACUAAGGACAGAGGAGGGACAGUCGCCCCCAACUGAGAGACAGCAAAAUGGACUCCCAAGCCCCCUCCCACCACCAACACCACCACCCUUGUUUCCUGGUAAACUGUGUGCCUUCUACUGCUGCUACUACUUCAUGCUCACAUGUGUUGUACACUCCACCCCCUUAACUCGUCUUUUUGAACCACUCAGCACAAACUUCAAAGUGCGUGCGCGGGUGUGUGUGUUUGUUUCACGGUCUUGUCAGUUGUCCUCAUGUAGCGUGACUACCAGUUAAUGCUGUCACAUGUGCAGUAAUCGUGUCAAUAGUGCAGGCAGUGUAUACAUUUAAAUGUUAGGAUUGUGUAGUAGACAUGAUUGCAUCCCUUUGUCAUGCAUCUUGCUUAUAUCCAUUAGUAAUAUUAAAAAGAUUGUGGAAACAUGAUAUAAUGUGCUUUUCUGAGAAGAGAAUAAGAGCAUGUGCUGUAAACAAGGUCAAAAUGAUGAAACCUUCCAAAGUCUAAAAAUGAAAUCUAAAAACUGCCAUUGUAGUUGUAGUAGUGCCACACACUGUCUCUUUGUGCCGUACCUCUGGUUAUUUUUAUUUUGACAAAAUAGCAGUGUGCUAAACUUGUCAUUGCUUAUUUUUAUUCAUUCUUGUUUUUUGUUGGACUAGAUUUGUUAUUGAUUGAUUUGAUGUGGUUGUCAUUUGUACAUAUUUUUUGUACCUGUAUUGUGAUGAUUUUGCUUUUGCUUAGUUGUAUUUGUUUUAUUUCAUUUUGGUGCAGGAACACAUUUGCUGUGAUUGAAAUUGUUUUUAUGUAUUUUAUUUUAUAUAAAAAAAUUUGAGGGAAGAGAGUGAUUUGUGGAAUUCUGCUUAAUUUUGAGAGAGAACAUAUUGUCGUGUUCCUUGUUAUUUUUAAUACACGACGUACACUACUUGUGAAAGAGUUUUGAUAUCUAAUGGUUUUGUGUAUUCUUACUAAUUGUGACUGGUGUUUCUGAGGGUUUUUUUCUGUGGGAAAAUACACUUGUGGAUUAUAUGCUUGUAUUUU